CUGCGCGCGCCGGGAGAGCGCGACGUUCGCGAGUCGAGUCAAUUUCGAAUCGCAACGCCGCCGCCGAAGGGGCAACCCACAAACUCUCAGGCAAAAGGACCGUGCGCGCCG
rnacentral:ncRNA from 2 species